CCCUACGGGGGGCAGCAGUGGGGAAUAUUGCACAAUGGGGGAAACCCUGAUGCAGCGACGCCGCGUGAGCGACGCCGUCUCUCGGUCUGUCCCGCUCUCUCCGCCGGGCCGCACCUGACGGUACCUGACUAAGAAGCCCCGGCUAACUACGUGCCAGCAGCCGCGGUAAUACGUAGGGGGCAAGCGUUAUCCGGAUUUACUGGGUGUAAAGGGAGCGCAGGCGGCGCGGUAAGUCUGCUGUGAAAGCCCGGGGCUCAACCCCGGGACUGCAUUGGCAACUGGCGUGCUGGAGUGUCGGAGGGGCA
rnacentral:rRNA from 1 species